GGGGAGGUAGUUUAGCUUGGGAGAAUGCAGGCCUUGGGAGCCUGUGACCUGGGUUCAAAUCCCGGCCUCCCCA
rnacentral:tRNA from 1 species